CUUCCACCACUAUCCAUUCAAAUUCUUUAAAAUCCAUAUGAAUUUUGUAGGAGUUUUUAAUCCUCUCAAAAUCCUAUCAAAUCUAUCAUCUUUAAAAUUCUUUAAAAUUCUUUAAAUCUUGGGAGUUUUUAACCAAAAACCUACGGUACUGUUCACUUUAAUGAAAAACUAUAUUUUUACACUAAAAAGUCAAUCCUGGUACCCCUCACCCUUUAUUCCCCCUCCCGUCUUCCCCAAACCCAAAACUCAAAACCUCGCUGAAGCGUUGGGCUAGCUGUUUCAACGCCAUCGUCGCCUGGUACAGGGGCCUGCGAAGGGGUUUAUUGUCCAAGUCCCACAAGAUCACAACUUUCUUCUGCUUCAGCAUGUAUAUGCCCUAAAAACUAUAUUUUUACACUAAAAAGUCAAUCCUGGUACCCCUCACCCUUUAUUCCCCCUCCCGUCUUCCCCAAACCCAAAACUCAAAACCUCGCUGAAGCGUUGGGCUAGCUGUUUCAACGCCAUCGUCGCCUGGUACAGGGGCCUGCGAAGGGGUUUAUUGUCCAAGUCCCACAAGAUCACAACUUUCUUCUGCUUCAGCAUGUAUAUGCCCUUCUUGUUUUGCACCAUGUCGAUUUCGGAGCUUGCGGAUGACUUGAUGACAGCGUGGCGGCAAUUCGUGGUGGUUGAGGUGACGGCAAUGGUGAUGAUGGAGAAAGGGGUGGUGGAGGACGGGUGGGAAAGGGUUUUGGGUUGCAGAGGUAAGAGGCGAGAAAGGGGGGGGGGAGAGAGGAGAGAAUGAGAGAGAUUUAAUAUAUAUGUAUAUAUAUAUAUAAUUUUUUUUUUAAUUUUUGAAUAUUUAAUUAUUAAAAAUACAUUUUAUUAUUUUUUAAUCCAAUUGGAUUAUUGAGUAGGACACGUGUCGGGCUACGUCAGCAUUUAACAGAGAAAUUAACAAAAAAACUGACGGAGAUCUGACAUUGGCACAAAUUCGUAAGAUGAGGUAUGACAUUGUCAAUUUUAAAAGAUGAGGUAUGAAAAUGUCAUGACACCAAUAAUCGAGGUAGUUUUUUGUACUUUAACCUAUAAUUUUAUUGAAAUAGAACUUAAUGAGAAUACAUUUCAUGAUCAAGAAGCUCCCUAAUGACAUCAAUAUCAAGAGGUUCUUCAAAACCAACUUACUGAGACACCUCCUACUAAACUUGAUUUAGCGAGGCAAUGAGCCACACUAUUAGAUUCACGGGGAAUAUACAAUAUUGUGCACUCCAAGAACUCCACCAGAAGCUCUUGAAUAUCAGAGACUAUGAAGCCAAUAUUAGAGAGCUCUACGAGAACACCCUUGCACGCCUCCACAGCUUCGAGGGAAUCCAUCUCCACCUGCACUCUCAAGAAACCAAAACGCAGCGCCUAGGAUUGCCAGCAGCUCAACCUGUUUCACCAAGAAACAACACCGAAGCCGCCAGAUUCCAGCAACAAUGAACGCCCCAUUUAUACCUCGGAUCACUCUUCCAGCUCCACCGACAUCCUCCUUCACCUUCGCAGCCCCACCCCAUCGACAUUUAAUUGAAACCAUCCAUCGCUAGGGGCCACCCAUCGCAGUUGCUUGGGCAGCUUUACAUGACUGGGCUGUAGAUGAGCCUGCCUAAACUCCUGCAGCCAGCUGAGAGUACGCUGGGCCACCUCCAUGGGAUCCGAGGCUUGUCCAUCCCAUAAAACCUUAUUCCGUAUCGUAUUACUGCAGCCUCCUAAACUUGGAGAUUACCCACAAGGUACCAAUUAACCCAUCCAUACUUAGCAUUCAAAAAAGCAUGAUAGACGAUUGUUGGGAUUCUUGGUGAAGGCCUUGUCGAAGGUCUUGUUGAAGGCCGCGUCGAUCGCUAGGAUUCUUUCGGGUUUCAGAUGCAGCAAGUACCAGAGGGAGGAGUGGACGGAGAAAGGGUGGCUCGGGUAGGCAAAGGGUGGAUGAAGGGGGAUGGAAGAAGGGGGUGCUCGGGUGGAGAAGACAAAAGGGGUGGAGGGGUGCACGGGUGGAGGGGGUAGAGGGGAUGGAGGUGUGUCGGGUGGGGAUGGAGGAAAGGGGUUCUGGGUUUGUUUUUUUGUUUUUUUUAUUUUUAAUAUAAUAUGCCAUCUCGUCUACAAAAACCUAGAAAAAACCAGUCAAAACCAUAAAAAUUAAACUUCCUUCGACCCUUUAGAUCAAGCUUAAAACCCCACCAAAAAAAAAAUCUGUUUUUCCUUUUUUCUUUUAUGGGUUUUUUUUUUUUUUUUUUUUUUUUUUUGGUGCGUAAAUUGGCUGGUGUGGAGGUGUGAUUUUAUACGACAAUGAUGAUUGUUGCGGUAAAUGCUUUGUCAAAGUCAUGAUGAGACGGCUGCCAUCGCACAGGGUUGGAUCUGAAUUGUCGUGGUAAAUUAGCUUGGAUCUGAAUUGGUUCCUGCACUUCAUAUUGCAGGUUGCCUAGAGAGAGAGAGAGGGCUUCAUGACGAGGGUUUUGGUCUUCUGCUUCUUGUUGCGGGGGUCGCCAGCAACUGAAACGAUGGCGUAGAAGACGGAAAGGAUGAGGUUGGGUGCAGGUUGCAAAGGGGGUUGGGUGUGGGUUGCAGGGGUUUGAGGGAGGUAGAAGACGGGUGGGGCUGCUUUUUUUUUUUUUAAUUUUUUUAAUAUUUGAAGUGGGCCAUAUUGACAUGUGACGCUCAGUUAUUGUUUAUAUGGGCGUCAUGUCAUCAAUUAACAGAAGUUCUAACGGAAAAAUUAACGUAUGUAUAAAACUGUCCUAAAAUUAAGACUUGAGUUAUAACUUUGGGAUGAAAAAAACUUCAUGUACCAAAUGUUGAAAACCACAAAACUUCAAAAUAGUAAACUGAGAUUAACCCUUUUAUUUAUUUUUUUAAAAUGUGAAACGAUCAAAAUGCCCUUAGAGGGUAUGUGUCAAUUUUCAUUGACUUACUGAUCAGGACACGUGUGACAUAUUAAUUAGUAUAUUUUGCAGCACUUACUAUUAUGAACGAUUGAUUAUAAAUAUAACGAAAAUUAGAACUAGAAAUAUUUCACGAAACACGUAUAAAUCAUUUCAUUUAAAGUAGUGGGAAAGAUAAUAGCACUAGAUAUAAAAUAUUAAUGAUAGAAUAAAAUAAUAAAGAAAGAAGAAAAGAGAGAGGUGGGGAAGGAUCGGGAAGAAGGAAAGAAGGGUAAAAAGGGAGAAGGGGGGAAAAGAACAUUUUCUUCUUCUUGCUCCAGCACUCACGGGAUCCCUUUCAAACUAUUUUCAUCAUAAUUUCCUCAUACGAUAACGAAAUCACAUGAGGUCGGAAGCUAUAGUUUCGUAGCGAAGUUAUCUUCAAUCUUACCAUACCCACCCUUUGAAAAGGAGGCAGAUUGUCUGCUCUCAUUUUAUAAUGCUCUUUCCGUCUCCUUCUAUUUGUACUGUCACGGUUAAAUAACAUCAACAUUUUAUAUUCCUAUUACUUUUUGUCUUAUUAUUUUAAUAAAAAUAUUAAUAUAAAAUAUUAACGUGACUUAACCGUGAUCGCACAAUGUAAGAGAGAAUGGAAAGGGCGUGGUAAUGAGAGGCAGACAAUCUACGGUCCUUUUGAAAACCCUUGUAUAAAGAAAACGAGGUCCAAACAUAUUCACGUGUUCCAGCGACUUUUCUCUGAUUUCGGGCAAUCCCGCUGGAAUCUGGCCUCGACCCAAGUGAAAAUAAUGAUCCUCCCUCGUGGGGUCUCCUCUAGCGUAAGUAUUUUCCCAAGGUUUUAACUUUUAGUUUUGGGGUCAAUUCAAGGUUUUGAAUUUUAAUUCGAUAUUUUGGAUGCAUAUUUGAGAUGAUGCUUGUUGUAUUGUUUAGGAGUUGAAUCGGAACCGGGUAGACAUGAUCGGUUGCAUAUAUAGGGAAGAAUAUUGAAAUCCUAACCUCAAUUCGGUUCUCUUUAGAAAUUUAAGGGUUUGGUUUGGGUUAUAAGCAUUAAUGUUAUUCCAUAAUCGAGGCCGAUACAUUGGAAUAUUUUGUGUGCGAUAUUUGUCCUACCCCUUAUGCACUGAAAAGAACAUUGCUGAAAUUGUAUGUGGUGUAAAGGACAGCAAGGGUGUAAAGCUUUCAGCUUUCUUUGUUGCUGACUCAUGGACAGCAGGGAAAGGAAUUGCAUGUGCUGUGCUGUCUGUACACCCAUGUCCACGAGUCAGCAACAAAGCAAGCUGAAAGCUUUACACCCUUGCUGUCUUGCUGUGCUGUGCUGUCUGUACACCCAUGUGCUUUGAGUGCACACCCUUACUGUAUGCUUGCUGUGCUGUGCUGUCUGUACACCCAUGUGCUUCUUCCAAUAAACAUCCUCCUUGAUGUUCGGUGGA